rnacentral:rRNA from 1 species
GCUUAAUAAGGAUGUUUAUUAGUGGGUAUAGCACUGAAUAUCUAAUAUUAUUUGAAGGGAGUAUGAAAGUACUUACUUUGGAUAUUUAAUCUCAGAAUAACUAAUAGAUGAAAGAUGAUUAAGUUGUCAGACUUUUUGCGAUAAGGUGGGAAGUCAAGAGGGAAACAGCCCAGAAUAAUUUAUAAAGUUCUAAAAUUGUUACUGAGUGAAUUAAAAG